rnacentral:snoRNA from 1 species
AUUGCUUUAUAGUUCAUGAGCAUGACGAUUGGGUGUUCACAUGCAUGUGUGAGAUGUGCCACCCUCGAACCUUGUUAGAUGUUGGCACAUUACCCGUCUGACC